rnacentral:rRNA from 1 species
CCUACGGGAGGCAGCAGUGGGGAAUUUUGGACAAUGGGCGCAAGCCUGAUCCAGCCAUACCGCGUGAGUGAAGAAGGCCUUCGGGUUGUAAAGCUCUUUCAGCCGGAAAGAAAUCGCACUGGUUAACACCUUGUGUGGAUGACGGUACCGGAAGAAGAAGCACCGGCUAACUACGUGCCAGCAGCCGCGGUAAUACGUAGGGUGCGAGCGUUAAUCGGAAUUACUGGGCGUAAAGCGUGCGCAGGCGGUUUUGUAAGACAGAUGUGAAAUCCCCGGGCUCAACCUGGGAACUGCAUUUGUGACUGCAAGACUAGAGUGUAGCAGAGGGGGGUAGAAUUCCACGUGUAGCAGUGAAAUGCGUAGAKAUGUGGAGGAAUACCGAUGGCGAAGGCAGCCCCCUGGGYUAACACUGACGCUCAUGCACGAAAGCGUGGGGAGCAAACAGGAUUAGAUACCCUGGUAGUCCACGCCCUAAACGAUGUCAACUAGGUGUUGGGGAAGGAGACUUCUUUAGUACCGCAGCUAACGCGUGAAGUUGACCGCCUGGGGAGUACGGUCGCAAGAUUAAAACUCAAAGGAAUUGACGG